CGCGGGGUAACGCGCCUCAGGAGCCGCCGCCAGCCUGGGCCGCGCCGGGCAGCGCUGUGAGGGUGAGGGCUGAGCGCGCGCGAGGCUGCUGGAGCGAGGCUGGGCGUUUGCUUUUAGGUAUCUAGGAAUUUUACCUAAGUUAAGAAAUGUACACUGAAGAAAAGAAAAUCACUCUUGGGUCUUCAUUGUUCAUAUCUGUGUGAAAGAUUCUAGGAUGUUCCAUGAAAACACAUCAGCAGAUUGCUUAACUGAAGUAACAACUUCUACUGAAGAUGGUGCUUUCCAAACAAAAGGCCAUAAUAUGAGACUCCUUAGCCCAGAAGAAGCAGAGAGACUGGCAAAAGAUCGGGUUUUGGUGUCUGACUUCAAACAGCUGAAAUUGGAAAAAGAGGCACAGAAGAACUGGGAUCUUUUUUACAAGAGAAACAGCACCAACUUCUUCAAAGACAGACACUGGACAACCAGAGAGUUUCAAGAAUUAAAAGCAUGUCGGGAGUUUGCAGACCAGAAACUGACCAUUUUGGAAGCGGGCUGUGGGGUUGGAAACUGCUUAUUUCCACUCUUAGAAGAAGAUCUGAAUAUUUUUGCAUAUGCCUGUGAUUUCUCUCCUAGAGCUGUUGAAUAUGUGAAGAAAAAUUCCCUGUAUAGUACUGAAAGAUGCAAAGUGUUCCAGUGCGAUCUCACCAAAGAUGAUCUUCUGGAAAAUAUACCAGCAGAUUCUGUGGAUGUCGUCACCCUUAUAUUUGUGCUUUCUGCCAUUCAUCCUGACAAAAUGCAUCUUGUCUUGAAGAACAUUUACAAGGUAUUAAAACCAGGCAAGUGUGUCUUGUUCAGAGACUAUGGCCUGUAUGAUCAUGCGAUGCUCAGGUUUAAAUCUGGCAGCAAACUUGGAGAAAACUUCUAUGUUAGACAAGAUGGGACAAGAUCAUAUUUUUUCACUACAGAGUUCUUGUCUCAGCUCUUCAGGGCAGAGGGAUAUGAGGAAGUGGUCAACGAAUACGUGCACCGAGAAACUGUGAAUAGGAAAGAAGACUUGCGUGUUCCAAGAGUUUUUCUUCAAAGCAAAUUUCAAAAGCCUUUCAGUGUAAAUAAUGUGGACUCUGGUUGAAGAUUUUCCUGCAGUUAUGGAAUCCUAAACAUCACUCUCCUCUGUGGGAUUCUCCAGUGUGCUCUACUAGAACCACAUGUGUUAAGAGAAUCUAUUAGAACAAAGGCAGAUGGUGACCAUUUACUGUGGGGAGGCACACAGAUAUGUUGCAAAGAUAGAAGCUAUUAGCCAGGUAAGAUGAUUCAUUAGAGAACUCUUUUCUAUUCCUACUUCCCACCAUUCAUUGUGUUUGCACUGAGGAGAAAACGCUACUGCUGUGAAACCGAGGAACGUAAGGGCAUGAGGAAAGCACAUGUGAUUUUUCGAAAAGACUCUUGAUCUUGUGUGCCUCUACAUAAAUGAUCCUAGUUUAGGGACAUCUACCCUUCUGUAAGUCAUGAGUCUCAUCUUAAGAAAGUUUGAUUUGAUUUUGAAGGUCUUUGCCAAAGAUACAGGUAUAGCCAAAUAUGUUGAAAGAUUUAGAAAAGCAGCUGUGUGACUGAGAAAAUAUAUCUAGGUUUAUUUUUCUGAUUUGACUUGUAAGGUGCUUAAUACUUCACAGUCACUUCAGUGCUUUUUCAGAGUUCCUGCCAUUCUGUGCUGUGUUAUCCUUUGUCAAGCUAAGUGUGCCCUAUCAACUCCAGCUCAAUUUUACAUCUGUACUACCUAGUGGACUUGCAUCUGAAAUAAUGGAGGGUACUCAAAGGAAAAUUCACAGAGCAGACAAGCCUGCCUGCUAUCUGGGCUCUAUUUGGUGUUUUUCUACAAUCACCUUCUUUUGACUUCUAACUAUCUGUAGUAGAUUUGAUGCACUACGUGCCAGUGGGAUUGUUGUACAGCUGACACUUAAGGAUUUUGUUGCUACUUUUAAAAUUUUUUUAAAUUUUUUUCUAGCUUUAGCUUCAGGCUUCUAUGUGAAAGGUGGUGUUUAAUCAGAAUUUCUGUCAUCUAACAAAAGCCUUUUAAAUAAACCAGAUCUGAUGCUGUUAUGUUAAAACCGUGUUAUUCAAAGGAAGGAGAAAAGAGAAGUGAGCAGAAGGAAAAGAGAGCUGUUUCCUACGCUAAUACAAUAGAGCAUGGUUGUCCAACACUUUGGCUUGCCUGGGCCACACUGGGUGAAGAGGAAUUGUCUUGGGUCCUUGUAGCAAAAAUGCUAAGGCAUGGCUUGGACCUGUGAUUGAGCACCUGGUGGGAAGGCAGGGCUAAUCCAGAGGAGCUCAGGUGCCAGCAAUGCAAAUGAAUGACCAGAACAUGUGGAGCCAGGAUCCACCCCUCCCCAGACCUCAUUUAAGGGUUGGCAGUGUAGGCAAAAGUAUCUUAUCUAGAGAUUUCUGCAUAUCUGAGGCCUUUUAAAGAAUGCCUGCAUCUGAUAAUCAAUUGCAUCUCCUGCUGUUUGGAGAGGGUGUUCCUGUCCUUGCAUCUCACUGAAGAUCUCCAGUGCUCUGCACUGAACACUGAUGCACUGCUGCAGUUGCUGCUAUAGGGGCUCCACUUCAUUCUGCUUGCUGGGCAGCAGCACAGAUACCAGACUGGAUUAGAAUAACUUUCAUCCCCUUGCAUCAGGACUGCAUUUACACUCUUGACAACAGUUCUGCCUCAGCGAUCUCAGAGAUAAGCCUACUGGGUCUCAAGGGUGCUCAGUACACUGAACUCUCUCCUGGGAUUGUGCCCGGGAAGGGAGAUCAAUCUUUCUGGUUGAGUUGCUCGUGAGAAUAGCUGCAAGUCAAUUAUAUUCUCAGAAUAUUUUGUGAUAUGUGAAUCCUUCUGCAAACAAGGACUAGAUGAUGCUCACACACGUGUUCAAUGCAAAAACUUUCAAUUACUUUCCUUCUUACCUGCAUUUUUUGGCAGGUGUGAAAUGAAGCCAGGAUGAAGCACUUCAAAAAAGACAGUCUAGAUGAAAGGCUAAGCAAGAAUUAAAGAAAUAUUCUUAAACCUAGGUCUGGAACUGGUCUACACUUUCUUGGUAGAAGGAGAAAAUCUGAAACAGUCCAGCUUAUAGUAAGACCAGAAGCAUGUGGUACAGUUAUUUGUAAUCUGAUGAUUUUAAAAAUCUUUUAUCCUGAUUAUAGGGCUCCUCAUCUGAUGGAGAUCUGACCCAUGCUCUGACACAAAGCUUUGAAAUCCUCAUUGCUCCUGUGUAUCCAUGCUGUGCUUUCCAGACAUAAUGUCUAGCUGCAGAGGCAGUAGUCCUCAGACAUUCCCAAAGCAGUGGGCAGUUUUGCUUUCACUUUGGCAGAGCUUAUGCUAUGUCUUUUCUCUGCUGCCUCCCUUUCCCUGUGGGUGGCUGGGGGGGCAUCUAACAGCCUCUGGUUUAAGGCUGUCCUCCUGGGAAGCAGUGGAGAGAUCUGUGUCUGAUGGAGGAAAGUCAGUUUGAAGACUGGGUUGCCAUGCUUGUAGGGUACUGCUGAGAUCAUGUUAUGGUGGAAGGUUAAAG